GCCCGGCCGAGCGGUUAAGUGUUCACUUGUUAAGCGAUAGGUCGCGGGUUCGAAUCCGGUUAGGGGCC
rnacentral:tRNA from 1 species